rnacentral:lncRNA from 1 species
CAGGUCAUGUAGCUGGAAUGAACAUUCUACUGUGGUAUCUUAUUAGUCCCAAAUUAAAUAUAAGAACACAAAUUCCACUAGCUAAACCAGAAAUUAAUUAGAAAGACAAUGAACUAAGGUUAUGAAAACAACAUACAAUGAGGAGAUACAACUGGAUUCAAAAAACGAAAUUGAAAACAUGCUUUGAACCCUAGUUUUCCAUUUCAUUCUUCAAUUCAAGCUUCACAUUAAAUAGGGUUCAAGAACAUGUACCUGAAAUUCAAAAGAGAACCAAAAGGGAAUGAAGAAUUAGCAUAAGCAGCAGCAGAGAUCAGUUCUGAUCCCCAACAAAUGAAACAGUACCACCAAAUCCAAACCAGCUCCAAACAAGCUUGUAAAUCCCAAAAAUUAAACCAUUUUCACUCCAAUGUAGGAAUUUAUAGUUUUUAAGAGUUCUAACUAAUAGGAAGAUCAGAAAUCCAGCAAACAAACCAAACUUUGAGCAAUUUCCAACCAAGAAAUGCAGGAAAUUCAGUAUUAUUUUUCAGAGCAAGUCGUUUCAAAUUUUUAGGGGUUUUUAUCUCUAAUUUCUUCUAACUUGCUAGUGAAGUAAAGAUGCCUUUAUAGGCAAGGUUUUAGGGAAGCCUAAAAGAAUUCAGUUUUGCACUUGAAACCUUUUUCAAUUUUCAUUCUUGCUCUAAUACCCUUAACUUAAAAAGUCAAUUUUCAUUUAGGUCCCAAGAACAGCUUCUAGGAAGCUUCCUUCAGUCAGUUACAAGAGAUUCUCUACCUAGAUUUCCUAAAUUACCCCUUUAAGCCCUGUUAAUUACCCUAGAAAUCUCAUAGGUCAUGGGUCAAAUUGACCCAAUAAUUAAACCAGACCAGGGCUCAAAAAUCAACUCGAAUCCUUUCUUCUUUGGGCUUUCUGAUUUUCAGAAACCAAAUCAGCCUUGAAAGCUCAAAACUCUCAAAUACUCAAUUACAGAGCCUUAAAGACUCGAAAUAUUUGGGCCCAGACAGAAGCAAAAAUCAAACACAUCCAAACUUAGAACCAGAAAACAAAUACUAAUUAAACAAAACCUAAAAAUAACAUUCAAAUACGGAUGGUUUGAAGAGAUGAAAAAAUUGGAAAAUAAUAAUCAGAAAAAUAAAAGAAAAAGUAGAAGAAGAUGAGAAGAGAACAAAAAUAGAAAUUAAAUAUCAAAAGGUAAAGAAAAGAAAAAUACCUAAAAAAUCUCAGACCAGUAAGAAACAGAGACUGAGUCUUCAAAAUCUGCCAAUUUUCAGCCCAAUUCGAUAUUAAUCGUAUGUUCUUAUCAAGAACACACGAAUAAAGUCAAAAUAGGCCUAAAUCUUCAACGAAAUUUCGAUUUGGAAGUUUUUUGGGAUUUUAAGGUUCCACCUUCGAUCUAAGAUUCAAGAAGUUCUGGCAAGAUUCAAG